CACCAAGGAGACCGUCAGUGGAUUCCAACGCUUCCACCUCCCCCACCCUCCCCUGGCCCAGGAAGGACCAGAGGCUUUAACGCGGGUGCAGAACAGGAGCACGCCCCAGGACAAAUCAGAAUGUGAGAGCAUAAAUCUCUGUCCAAGGCCGGCGAGUUUGGGUCAUUUGUUGCAGCUGCCGCAGGAGAAGAGCACGUGGGUCAUGGGAAGAGGAAGUGAGAAGGGACCUCUCCGCGUCGGACUUGCAGACUCACGAAGACGCCGUCCCCCACCCCGGCCCAGCAGGCAUCUACCCAAGAGAAAUCAGAGCAUGCGUCCGCACAAAGACAUCCGCGGGAUGCUGUUCAGAUGUGCAGGGGUGAAGGAACUGACACGACUUCCGGGUCUGUCCUGGGCCCAAAUCCACGGCUGCAGCCCCGCCCCUUCCGGGUCGCCCUCCGCCAGCGCCAGCGCCUGACUGCGCCUCCGCACUCUGCCAGCCUCACUCCCUCCCGAGGCUCUGGGUCCUUCCUCCUCCUCCUCCCCCGCGCUCAUGCCCGCGGCCCUCAGUCUUCUCUCCCCCGUGUGUCUGUGUCCAAACUGACCCCUUCUUACAAGAACACCAGUCACUGAGUUUGAGGCCACCCUACUCCAGGAUGACCUCGUCUUACCCUUUACCUUAAUUACAUCUGCAAGGACCCAAUUUUCAAACAGGGUCACAAUCUGAGGUUCCUGGUAGACGGGAGCUUUUCGAGGACACGAUUCAACCCAUUACACGCUCUGUGCCUGUCAUUAGUGGGGAGGGUGAGCGAUGCCCCCAGAUGA